rnacentral:rRNA from 1 species
UGGGGAAUUUUGGACAAUGGGGGCAACCCUGAUCCAGCCAUGCCGCGUGUGCGAAGAAGGCCUUCGGGUUGUAAAGCACUUUUGGCAGGAACGAAACGGUUUGCGUUAAUACCGCGAACUAAUGACGGUACCUGCAGAAUAAGCACCGGCUAACUACGUGCCAGCAGCCGCGGUAAUACGUAGGGUGCAAGCGUUAAUCGGAAUUACUGGGCGUAAAGCGUGCGCAGGCGGUUAUAUAAGACCGAUGUGAAAUCCCCGGGCUCAACCUGGGAACUGCAUUGGUGACUGUAUAGCUAGAGUGUGUCAGAGGGGGGUAGAAUUCCACGUGUAGCAGUGAAAUGCGUAGAGAUGUGGAGGAAUACCGAUGGCGAAGGCAGCCCCCUGGGAUAACACUGACGCUCAUGCACGAAAGCGUGGGGAGCAAACAGGAUUAGAUACCCUGGUAGUCCACGCCCUAAACGAUGUCUACUAGUUGUUGGGAGGGUAACCUCUUAGUAACGCAGCUAACGCGUGAAGUAGACCGCCUGG